CGCGGAGUGAGAGCGAGCCGCCAGGAGCGGUCGUAUGGCGGCAGUGCCGCGGAGAGUGAGCUCCGCACAACCAAGGGAGCGAGAGGCCCUUGGUGCUGGUUGCCGGUGUGUGGGUGAGGGGCGUCAACGCGCGGGAUCUGCGCGGGCCGCGGGAAGCGCGCCCGUGGCGGGGGAAAAGGAGGUCGAAUCAGUAAAACGAUCUGUCGGCGGGAGCCAUUGUAGGAGAAAGCCUGUUGCUCACAGGGAGAAACAGUGGAAAGUGUAGUGCCAAAGAAUAAGGCACAGUUUCGUACCAGGGGUUUUUUGGCUUCGCAGAGCAGUCUACCACUCUGAAACAGGCUGAUACAAAGUGUCAUGAUGCUUUUCUAACUUUGGCCACUGUGGAAUGAGCUGGAGGUAAGACAAUAAAAGCCCAGUGUCUGUGCAGUGUAAAAAUGUAACCGAAAAAAAUCAUUAAUAAAAGAUGAUACAUAUUUAUAUGGCUGAGGAAAUAGCUCACAAAACAUAAACAAAAUGUAAAUACAAU
ensembl:lncRNA